GACGAACGCUGGCGGCGUGCUUAACACAUGCAAGUCGAACGGAAAAGCCCUGCUUUUGUGGGGUGCUCGAGUGGCGAACGGGUGAGUAACACGUGAGUAACCUGCCCUUGACUUUGGGAUAACUUCAGGAAACUGGGGCUAAUACCGGAUAGGAGCUCCUGCUGCAUGGUGGGGGUUGGAAAGUUUCGGCGGUUGGGGAUGGACUCGCGGCUUAUCAGCUUGUUGGUGGGGUAGUGGCUUACCAAGGCUUUGACGGGUAGCCGGCCUGAGAGGGUGACCGGCCACAUUGGGACUGAGAUACGGCCCAGACUCCUACGGGAGGCAGCAGCGGGGAAUAUUGCACAAUGGGCGGAAGCCUGAUGCAGCAACGCCGCGUGCGGGAUGACGGCCUUCGGGUUGUAAACCGCUUUCGCCUGUGACGAAGCGUGAGUGACGGUAAUGGGUAAAGAAGCACCGGCUAACUACGUGC
rnacentral:rRNA from 1 species